rnacentral:lncRNA from 10 species
GAGUCCCUGCUGGAGUCAGAAGUUUUAGGCGAAUCCCAGGCGCGCCAAGGAAAGUGCUACAAAAGCCAUCCAUCUUGCAAGCGUUGGUGCCGAGGCGCAACGCUGAGAACGCAAAUACUAAAGGGCGCUGUUCUUUCCUCGUGGAGCUCACAGUCCGCUGGGGAGACCGUGAGAUGACAGCAGAGAAACUAGCGCGAUCAGUAGUACUCAGCGCAAGGACAGCGAGCAGAGAAGGCAAACCUAGUGCUUGCUAAGGAAGACUUCACAGAGGAGGUAGUGUCAGGGCCGAGACUAGGAGAAGGAUUCUCCAGGCUUCAUACGGUAAAACUCUCUGGGAAGGAAAGGAACUCAGAGUCCCAUGCAGAAAAUUGUUCAGCUGGAGGGGUAUCAGAAAGAUGGAUUUCCAAAGCCAACUGUUUCCUGUAGUGUGUGGAUCUCUGCAAGCAGAGCCUCAUCUUUCAAUUUCAGCUACAUGAAAGAGGAAGAAAGGGAAAGAUAUAUGUCAUACGUGAUAUACUUUAUGUGGCUUUGAAGACCCCUCUUUUGUGGGGCUACGGCUAAAGAACAUAGUUCCCUGGGAUGGAAUUGGCUCUUCCUAUUUCCCUACUUCAUGAAAACUCCAGUAGAAGACCUUAGAACCUUGUCCUGGUUACAUGGAUAUGUUUACUUUGUGAAAAUUCAUCAAGCACUAUGCACGGUCAUGAUUUGUACAUUUUUUUGUAAGAUAACUUCAUUAAAAUUUACUUUUUUUAUUUUUAAAAA